rnacentral:sRNA from 1 species
CUCGAAUUCCUCAUAUUGAGUAGCUCAACGAAAACAACAACAGUCUCCUCGGACCAUAUCGCAUAAUUCAAAGCUCAUCUUACCUGGAAAUCCCUUCUACUUAUUGAAUAUUUGGCAACGUCAAGCGCAGCUAAAAAACAUCGCACACGCACUGAUUCACGUGACUGUGUGUUCUUCCGGUCAGUGGUCUUUCUUCACUUUUCCGGCUGUUGUCUUGGUUGAACGAGGAGACUCCAACACAUGAAGGCAUGCUAUACAUAUGCUGUCAAAUACUGCUUCCCCACCUACAUCCCAAAAAUGCUCUAUUGACUCUUCAACCCUUCUAAGAACAGAGGAUAAUCGCAAGUUCCUUAAGUUUCUUAAAGCUUGCCGCCGUUAUCGGUGUUAACCAAGACGAAUCUAUACCUGGGGUCACCUUUCCGGAAAGAAGGCAACGCCUUGUUGAUAUCGUUGAAGUUCCACUUCUGGAUCCAAGGCUUAAUGUUGUGCUUAAGAGCAAAUUCGAACAUUUCAGUAAUCUCCUUGGGGCUACCGAUGUUGGAACCAGCGACGCAAGCGCUGUGCAUGAUAAGAGGGAAAGCAGGGACUUGUAAAGGGGUGGGGAUGACGCCAACGAUGCAGAAGACACCGGCGGGGGUGAGAAGGGGGAGGUAGUCGCUGAUGGGGAAACUCUCAGGAUCUGAUAGUACAGGGAUCAGCAUACAAGUUGGGGUAAAAGUCCAUUGACGAUGAUGACUUACUGAUUGUACAGAGGAUAAAGUCGAGAGAUCGAGAGCGAUCCUUGACAGCCUCCUGCAAGUUGCUACCGGCAGCAAAGUAAUCGGUAGCGCCAAGCUUGAAGGCGUCCUCCUUCUUCGCAUCACUUCGAGAGAUGGCGGUCACCUCAGCGCCCAUGGCCUUGGCAAAAAGGAUAGCCAUAUGACCCAGACCGCCGACACCGAUGACACCGACGCGCUUACGCUUGGUGCCGACUUCGAAGCGAGCGAGGGGGCUGUAAACGGUGACACCACCACAAAGCAUGGGUGCCGCAACGUCAGGCUCGAGGCCGGAAGGAAGGGGGACAGCAAACUUGGAAGGUCCUCGCCAAUACUUGGCAAAACCACCUCGUGAGAUGGACCCUUUGCCAUUGGGACCACGGUUGUAGGGGUAGUUGAAAGUGAUGGUUUGGGUAGCACAGUAGUUUUCCUUGCCUAGCAUGUACAUAUCAGUAUGUGCAUGUUGGAUCGUGACAGAGAUGACUGACCUUCCUUGCACCAUUCGCAUUCACGACAAGAGUCUGAUUGGGCACCAAUACCAACGAGGUCACCGAUUUUGAGGCCGUUUUCGGGAAAGGUGCCGAUCCUCACAACUUCACCAACGAUUUCGUGGCCACAAACCUGGGGGCAGAUGUCCUUGACAGGUCCCCAUUCACCAGUUAAAGAGGAGACAUCUGAACCACAGACACCACAGUACAAAAUCUUAACUGUUGACAUGUCAGCUCCCGCGGCUUUCCUUAUUCCAGGAGGCAAUACUUGCCAUCAACGUCAUCUUCAUCCCACUUCUUGGGAGCGAACUCCUGGAAUGACAGGUUGCCGUCGCAGGCCUUCUCGUCCAAACCAGCCCAGCCUUUGAAUUCGUUGUCGGCGACCAUUGUGAUUAUUGUAAUAUUCAGCUGUAGUGGAAGUUACACGAUUUGAUGGAAGGGUUUGGAUAGAUGAGCAAGGGGAGUCUUAUAUAGCUCUGGCAAGU